CGGAUACUUGGGACUCCAGGUCAGCCCAUGACACUGCAGCCCUGUCCUACAGAAGGAGUGUCCACUUGAACACAGAGUUGGGAGGCUCACCGUCUACACCGUAUCAGGAGACAUGACUCACAAGAGAGACAAACCAAGACAGAAACACCGGGUCUCUUGGCUGAAGCAGGAGGUGCCAGGGCCUCCUUCCUAACAGGGACCCUGACCAGGCUGUCAGUUGUUCAAGUCACUCAGGAACCAUGAGCUGUUAUGGGGAGAUCACUACCUAUGCCCCAGCUUUGCUUAUUUACACUGAAAACAACAUGACCAAACAACCUACAGCUCCUCCCAAAAGACGUGGGAUGAACCUUAGAAUGAACAAUAAGAAAAGUAAUUUCAUUUGAAAAAUGUAUGGGUUUCUUUAGUACUGAAUUAUUAUGAUGAUUAUUUUAAAGAUAACACUGUUCACAUGUCAGAGACUGGUUUACAUCCCUCUACAAAGAAAAGUUUAGUAUGAAAUCUGAGACUUCUAAUUCCCAGUAAAGUAAUGGGCCUCUUAACUCCAGGAAAAUUCAAGUUGCCUAUUUGAGCUGUGUGGGAUUUCAUGUGCAAUUUAUUAUUAGCACCAUAUUUUGUUUCUAUCAUAGGGAGAUAGGGCAGAAUCAUAUCUGUCCUUAAGUCAAUGAGUUACAAAAUUGUACUCAGCCCUAUAAAUGUUCAAGUAUCAAACUUAUUAAUAAUACUUUUUAAAUGUCUUUGAACAUUAUUUUUAAAAGUGUUCUAAUAACACAAAGAAACAAUAUUCGUAGCAACAAUGCGUCAAGCCUUUUUGCUGUUGUUUUGUUUUGUUCC
rnacentral:lncRNA from 1 species